CGACAAUAUUAGAUCCAAUAGUCCGUGCAACUGGGUUUACAUAUAACGCCAUUAUGGCUUUCUUAAUCCAACCUUCCAAUCCAUAGUGUAUUAAAACGGCUUCUAAGUAUUUCCAGCUGACUCUGUCGAAUGCUUUUUCAGCAUCAAUCGACAGAGUCAGAACUGGAACAUCUUUUCUAUUUGCAUCAUCCAGGAUAUUAAUAAUUUUCCUUAUACUUGUA